AGCGAACGCUGGCGGCAUGCUUAACACAUGCAAGUCGCACGGGCAGUAGCAAUACUGGUCAGUGGCGGACGGGUGAGUAACGCGUAGGAAUCUAUCCUUGGAAUGGGGGACAACCGUGGGAAACUACGGCUAAUACCGCAUGAUGCCUGAGGGCCAAAGACGAAAGUCGUUUGAGGAGGAGCCUGCGUCUGAUUAGGUAGUUGGUGGGGUAAAGGCCUACCAAGCCCUACGAUCAGUAGCUGGUCUGAGAGGAUGAUCAGCCACAUUGGGACUGAGACACGGCCCAAACUCCUACGGGAGGCAGCAGUGGGGAAUAUUGGACAAUGGGCGCAAGCCUGAUCCAGCAAUGCCGCGUGGGUGAAGAAGGUCUUCGGAUUGUAAAGCCCUUUUGGCGGGGACGAUGAUGACGGUACCCGCAGAAUAAGCUCCGGCUAACUUCGUG
rnacentral:rRNA from 1 species